rnacentral:rRNA from 1 species
CACGUAGGCGGACUGGAAAGUUGGAGGUGAAAUCCCAGGGCUCAGCCUUGGAACUGCCUUCAAAACUAUCAGUCUGGAGUUCGAGAGAGGUGAGUGGAAUUCCGAGUGUAGAGGUGAAAUUCGUAGAUAUUCGGAGGAACACCAGUGGCGAAGGCGGCUCACUGGCUCGAUACUGACGCUGAGGUGCGAAAGUGUGGGGGAGCAAACA